UACGGGAGGCAGCAGUGGGGAAUAUUGCACAAUGGAGGAAACUCUGAUGCAGCGAUGCCGCGUGAGUGAAGAAGGCCUUUGGGUUGUAAAGCUCUUUCGUCGGGGAAGAAAAUGACUGUACCCGAAUAAGAAGGUCCGGCUAACUUCGUGCCAGCAGCCGCGGUAAU
rnacentral:rRNA from 1 species